CCCCUGCGGUGAUCGAUGUCGGGCUAAAGUUUCUUGAGCCGACAACUACUCGCCUCGGGGGCAUUAGCGUGACGGCACUGGUGUGCAGGUCCGCCUUCGAGCGGAAAGCCUAAAGGGUCGCCCGUCGCCCCCACCUGAACCUCACGGUUCAAGGGCGGUGCCCGUACGACGCCAAUGCGGGGG
rnacentral:other from 1 species